AUUUAAUAUGUUUGUUGUUGAAUAUAUGCUUUUAGGUGCUGGUUUAUGGCAGCGUCAAAUGUACCUUUUUAUUUAUUUAUUUAUUUUUAGAAUUUAUCUUUUUCUUUUCUUUCUUUCUUUUUUUUUUUUUUUUUUACAGGAAUAGGCUUUUUCUAAGCUUCGUUUGUCCAGCACAGAUUCUACAACUGUCAUUUUACCAAAGCAAAGAACAGCCUGAAGUGUUUGCAGAUCAGAAGAUCAACAUGAAUCAGAGAUCACCCGCGAGAGGCCGUCAAUAUCAGCUCUUCAACCCAAGUGAGAUCCAUCCUAAUCCAAAACACGUAAUUCAGCAAAAUGUUGGAAGUGAUGAAAUCCCCCGUCAGAAGCUGUCGUGCUCUCAGCUCAUUCACUUUCUGAAAACAAGCAGCAAAUCAAAACUAGCGUCUGAACUGCCGUCAUCAGCUGCUGAAGUCAAAUACAGGCCAAACCUAACUGAGGCUUCAUUUAGUCUGAUGCAAAACAUCAGCACAACAGCUUCUGUGGAUCAGAGAGUCACGGCUUUGACCGGCGCCAAGAAGGAUGUGGAGAAUAAGAUCUUUUCUAAGAGCAAAGUUUCUGAACCCGUGUUUGCAGAGAAAGAAAGCAGUGCUGAGGUUUCCUACCACUGGAUGAUUGCCACAAGCACUGAACUGUGGGACAUUGGGGAUAUUUUCUCAGAUGCACAUCAGUCCUUGCCAGAGCCGUUCCCAAAUGAAGUGCCAGAUUUUAAUUUCCAAGCUGACUGUAAAGUUCCUGAUCUGUCCAGCCGAAGCGUGUGUCCCUCAGCAGAAGAGUCGUGGCGUCUGAAGGACGGUCAAAGCCCCGAUACACUGACUGACCACACUGAAGAUGACCACGCUGUACAUGUCACAAUCCCAGAGUUUCAGAGUCGCAGAUUUGAGGAGAUUCCAGUUGUUAUCAGCCAUGUGGUUCAUCCAAACAAGUUCUUCAUUCAACACAAGGACACAGAUCUCUGUCAACUGUCUGAAAUCAUGCAGAGGAACAGCAGUAGGUCUUUAGCAGAGAUGAACCGCAUCCCAGACAUUGGAGCUUAUGUCAUGGUUUGGUUUCUCAAGCAAGAGAUGUGGUGCCGUGGCCAGAUCAUCAGAAUCCGUCGGAGUCGAGGGCCCAGCAGCAGAGAUUGCAAAGACACUAAGGUGGAGGUCAGGAGGAUUGACUAUGGAGAUGUUGUUUGGGUCUCUCUUUGGGAUCUUAAGGAACUGUGUGGAGAAACCGCAUCCAUACCUGUGCAAGCGCUGCAGGUCUCACUGGCGAAUGUGAGGCCAGUGAAUGGAGAAACAUGGUCUUUUGAAGCGAUCAGCUGGUUCAGGAGCAAAGUGCAGAACAAGACUCUUUAUGCCAGGCUUUACCCAGAAGAAGGAGAAGUUUUGGUUGAACUCUUCAUGGAAAAGGGAAAGAUUGGUGCCAUGAGGAGAGGAGACUCUCUGUCUGUCAGACUUGCUCUGAAUAGAUUUGCCAUUCAUGAAUGUAACAAACCCAGGAGUCUGAAGAGAAGUGACGUCCCAGAACAAACCAGACAGCAGUCCUUACAGUGGGAGAAAUAUCUGAUCUCCUGUUACAGUCACAACAGGAAAUAAUGUUCACAGUAAUCAGCAAAAUACAGACCUUUGUUAUUCUUCAUUACUGUACAAUCUUAUGAAUACUUCACAAUAUCUACUAUAUGCAUUUCAUAGUCUCUGUUUGGUUUUUAUUUUAUUUUUAUUGUAUUAUUAUUAUUUUGGUUUAGUUCUUGAACAGUGCACAUCAGAUACAGGGAUGUUUUCUACUGGUCCAGCCGGGCCAGUGGUUCAAAUUUUUACUUGAGUUGCCAAUAUUUUCACUGGCCCUUUCACAAAAAAAUAAAAUAGUUGCUGUUAUCA
ensembl:lncRNA